UCGCGAAUAUUCCGCAAUGGGCGAAAGCCUGACGGAGCGACGCCGCGUGUGGGAUGAAGGCCUUCGGGUUGUAAACCACUGUCACGCGUUAUGAACACCGGGUAGACAACAUCAAUCCGGAUGACAAAGGCGCGAGAGGAAGCCACGGCUAACUCUGUGCCAGCAGCCGCGGUAAGACAGAGGUGGCAAGCGUUGCUCGGAGUUACUGGGCAUAAAGGGCGCGUAGGCGGUCGUGCACGUCGAGGGUGAAAUCCCCGGGCUUAACCCGGGAACUGCCUUUGAUACGGCGCGACUCGAGUGCGGGAGGGGAGAGUGGAACUCCUGGUGGAGCGGUGAAAUGCGUAGAUAUCAGGAGGAACGCCGGUGGCGAAAGCGACUCUCUGGUCCGCAACUGACGCUGAGGCGCGAAAGCUAGGGGAGCAAACGGGAUUAGAUACCCCCGUAGUCC
rnacentral:rRNA from 1 species